ACCUGAUUUCUGCUAUCCACAGUUUUACAACAUUGCCUUUGAUUCUUAGGACGUUGGCGGGUUCAUCUCUUCCCCUCAAAAUUUCAACAUUGGCAUCAGAGUAAGGUUGUAGAGGCAUGGUGGACCCAUAAUCUAGACGUUCCCAGGUGGAGAGAUCCUACUAUGUCAAGGAUAUGGAGACUGCCAUUAUCAUGAAAGCUGAUGGGAUUUUUUGCUCAAUGGAUGCUCGAAGGUGUUGACAAAAAAGGAAGAGUCAUAUGGAAGAUCUUAUCAUCACUUCCGCUCCACAAGAAUCAUCUCAUAAGCUUUUCUAACUUCCUUACAACAUCAUUCAGCAAUUGAAAAAGGGACAUAGUAAAUUAGAAGAUUAGUCAAUGAUUUCUUAAUUAACAGCAAUUCCCCACAAAGAAAGAGGUUUAGUCUUCCAUAGUCCAAUUUGUAUUGUAUUCUUUGAAUAAGAUGGUCCCAAAAAGCAAUAAGCCUAUUACUGUUAAU